GACGAACGCUGGCGGCGUGCUUAACACAUGCAAGUCGAGCGAGGCCCCUCCUUCGGGAGGGUGUCCUAGCGGCGAACGGGUGAGUAACACGUGGGCAACCUGCCCUCAGCUCUGGGAUAACUCCGGGAAAACGGGGCUAAUACCGGAUACGACCUCCACGGGCAUCUGCGGAGGUGGAAAGUUUUUCGGCUGAGGAUGGGCACGCGGCCUAUCAGCCAGUUGGUGGGGUAGUGGCCCACCAAGGCGACGGCGGGUAGCCGGCCUGAGAGCGGGACCGGCCACACUAGGACUAAGGCACGGCCCAGACGCCAACGGGAGGCAGCGGUGGGAAAUAUGACGCAAUGGGCGAGAGCCUGACGCGACGGCGCCGCGUGAGGGACGAAGGCCUUCGGGUUGUAAACCUCUUUCGGCAGAGACGAAGCGAAAGUGACGGUACCUGCAGAAGAAGCACCGGCCAACUACGUG
rnacentral:rRNA from 1 species